rnacentral:rRNA from 1 species
ACGAACGCUGGCGGCGUGCUUAACACAUGCAAGUCGAACGGGCCCGCCCCUGUUUUUGGGGGUGGGUUGAGUGGCGAACGGGUGAGUAUCACGUGAGUAACCUGCCCCCUGCUCCUGGAUAACUGCUUGAAAGGGCGGCUAAUACGGGGUGUGCCGGCUGGUCCGCAUGGGCCUGGUCGGGAUAGUUUCAUCUUCGGGUGUUUCGGUGGGGGAUGGGCUCGCGGCCUAUCAGCUUGUUGGUGGGGUGAUGGCCCACCAAGGCGGUGACGGGUAGCCGGCCUGAGAGGGUGGGCGGCCACACUGGGACUGAGACACGGCCCAGACUCCUGCGGGAGGCAGCAGGGGGGGGUAUUGCACAAUGGGCGGAAGCCUGAUGCAGCGACGUCGCGUGAGGGAUGGAGGCCUUCGGGUUGUGAACCUCUUUCUCCGGUGGUGAAGGCCCUGUCCGUUGCGGCGGGGUUGACGGUAGCCGGGUAUGAAGCGCCGGCUAACUACGUG